rnacentral:rRNA from 2 species
UGUGUUCAAGUUUUUAAGGGCAUACGGUGGAUGCCUUGGCAUCAGGAGCCGAUGAAGGACGUGGGAGCCUGCGAUAUGCCUCGGGGAGUCGGCAACCAGACUUUGAUCCGGGGAUUUCCGAAUGGGGGAACCUGGCACUCGUCAUGGGGUGUCGCCGCCGGUUGAAUGUAUAGGCCGGUUGGUGGGAACGCGGGGAAGUGAAACAUCUCAGUACCCGCAGGAAGAGAAAACAAUAGUGAUUCCGUGAGUAGUGGUGAGCGAAAGCGGAAGAGCCUAAACCGUGCGCGUGUGAUACCUGGCAGGGGUUGCGUGUGCGGGGUUGUGGGACCAUCUGGUCGGGGCUGCUGACCCGACAAGAAGUUACAAAAUAUCGUGGUAGUCGAAUGGCCUGGGAUGGCCGACCGUAGACGGUGAGAGUCCGGUAGGCGAAACUACGAUGUCUUCUGGGUGUGUUCCCGAGUAGCACGAGGCCCGUGAAAUCUCGUGUGAAUCUGCCACGACCACGUGGUAAGGCUGAAUACUUCCUGAUGACCGAUAGCGGACCAGUACCGUGAGGGAAAGGUGAAAAGUGCCCCGGUGAGGGGUCGUGAAAUAGUACCUGAAACCGUGUGCCUACAAGCCGUCAGAGCGUCCUCAAUGCCUUCGGGUGUUGGUGAGGGAAAGGUGAAAAGUGCCCCGGUGAGGGGUCGUGAAAUAGUACCUGAAACCGUGUGCCUACAAGCCGUCAGAGCGUCCUACAAGGAGCUUGCUUCUUGUUUCGUGAUGGCGUGCCUUUUGAAGAAUGAGCCUGCGAGUUAUGGUGUGUGGCGAGGUUAACCGGUGGCGGGUAGCCGUAGCGAAAGCGAGUCUGAAGAGGGCGUUUGAGUCGCAUGCUGUAGACCCGAAGCGGGGUGAUCUAGCCAUGGGCAGGGUGAAGCGCCGGUAAGACGGUGUGGAGGCCCGAACCCACCAGGGUUGAAAACCUGGGGGAUGACCUGUGGUUAGGGGUGAAAGGCCAAUCAAACUCCGUGAUAGCUGGUUCUCCCCGAAAUGCAUUUAGGUGCAGCGUUGCGUGUUUCUUGCCGGAGGUAGAGCUACUGGAUGGCCGAUGGGCCCUACAAGGUUACUGACGUCAGCCAAACUCCGAAUGCCGGUAAGUGAGAGCGUGGCAGUGAGACUGCGGGGGAUAAGCUUCGUAGUCGAGAGGGAAACAGCCCAGAUCAUCGGCUAAGGCCCCUAAGCGUGUGCUAAGUGGUAAAGGAUGUGGAGUUGCUGUGACAACCAGGAGGUUGGCUUAGAAGCAGCCACCCUUGAAAGAGUGCGUAAUAGCUCACUGGUCAAGUGAUUCCGCGCCGACAAUGUAGCGGGGCUCAAGCACACCGCCGAAGCCGUGGCAUUCCAGCUUGCUGGGAUGGGUAGGGGAGCGUCCUGCGUCCGGUGAAGCCGUCGAGUGAUCGUGCGGUGGAGGUCGUGGGAGUGAGAAUGCAGGCAUGAGUAGCGAAUCACACGUGAGAAACGUGUGCGCCGGAUGACCAAGGGUUCCUGGGGCAGGCUAAUCCGCCCAGGGUCAGUCGGGACCUAAGGCGAGGCCGACAGGCGUAGUCGAUGGACAACGGGUUGAUAUUCCCGUACCCGCUGGUAUGCGCCAACGCUGAGCCCACUGAUGCUAACCACCCGAUCCGCCUUGGAGACCUUCGGGUCUUCUUGGUUGGGGAGCGUGGGGCCCGAGGUGGUAGUAGGUGAGCGAUGGGGUGACGCAGGAGGGUAGCUCAGCCCGGGCGAUGGUUGUCCCGGGGUAAGCCUGUAGCCCGGACCGUAGGCAAAUCCGCGGUCCAUUGAGGGUGAGAGGUGAUGCCGAGCCGUUUUUGGUGAAGUGAGUGAUCCCAUGCUGCCGAGAAAAGCCUCUAGUGAGUGUACCGGCGGCCCGUACCCUAAACCGACUCAGGUGGUCAGGUAGAGAAUACCAAGGCGAUCGGGUGAACUGUGGUUAAGGAACUCGGCAAAUUGCCCCCGUAACUUUGGGAGAAGGGGGACCAUGUCUGGUGAGGGCACUUGCUGUCUGGGGUGAACUGUGGUUAAGGAACUCGGCAAAUUGCCCCCGUAACUUUGGGAGAAGGGGGACCAUGUCUGGUGAGGGCACUUGCUGCCCGUAGCUGGGUGUGGUCGCAGAGGCCAGGGGGAAGCGACUGUUUACUAAAAACACAGGUCCGUGCGAAGUCGUAAGACGCUGUAUACGGACUGACGCCUGCCCGGUGCCGGAACGUUAAGAGGACCGGUUAGAAGGAUUCGUCUUUCGAGGCUGAGAAUCUAAGCGCCGGUAAACGGCGGUGGUAACUAUAACCAUCCUAAGGUAGCGAAAUUCCUUGUCGGGUAAGUUCCGACCUGCACGAAUGGCGUAACGACUUCCCCGCUGUCUCAACCACAGGCCCGGCGAAAUUGCAGUACGAGUAAAGAUGCUCGUUUCGCGCAGCAGGACGGAAAGACCCCGGGACCUUCACUAUAGCUUGGCAUUGGCGUUUGAUGUGUCUUGUGUAGGAUAGGUGGGAGACUGUGAAGCGGGCACGCCAGUGUUCGUGGAGUCGUUGGUGAAAUACCACUCUGGUCGCCUUAGACGUCUAACCCGCACCCGUGGAUCCGGGUGGGGGACAGUGCCUGGUGGGUAGUUUAACUGGGGCGGUUGCCUCCCAAAGAGUAACGGAGGCGCCCAAAGGUUCCCUCAGCCUGGUUGGUCAUCAGGUGGUGAGUGCAAGGGCACAAGGGAGCUUGACUGUGAGACCGACAGGUCGAGCAGGUGCGAAAGCAGGGCCUAGUGAUCCGGCACCGGCGUGUGGAAGCGGUGUCGCUCAACGGCUAAAAGGUACCCCGGGGAUAACAGGCUGAUCUUCCCCAAGAGUCCAUAUCGACGGGAUGGUUUGGCACCUCGAUGUCGGCUCGUCGCAUCCUGGGGCUGGAGUAGGUCCCAAGGGUUGGGCUGUUCGCCCAUUAAAGCGGCACGCGAGCUGGGUUUAGAACGUCGCGAGACAGUUCGGUCCCUAUCCGCUGUGCGCGUAGGAGAAUUGAUGAGGGUCUGUCCCUAGUACGAGAGGACCGGGACGGACGAACCUCUGGUGUGCCAGUUGUCCCGCCAGGGGCACGGCUGGUUGGCUACGUUCGGUCGGGAUAACCGCUGAAAGCAUCUAAGCGGGAAGCCUUCCUCGAGAUGAGUUCUCCCACACCUUGUGUGUGUAAGGCCCCCAAGAGACGAUUGGGUUGAUAGGCCGGGGAUGGAAGCGCGGUAACGUGUGGAGUCGACCGGUACUAAUAGGCCGAGUGGCUUGAACACAC